UACGUAGGGUGCGAGCGUUGUCCGGAAUUAUUGGGCGUAAAGAGCUCGUAGGCGGUCUGUCGCGUCUGCUGUGAAAACUGGGGGCUCAACCCCCAGCCUGCAGUGGGUACGGGCAGACUAGAGUGCGGUAGGGGAGAUUGGAAUUCCUGGUGUAGCGGUGAAAUGCGCAGAUAUCAGGAGGAACACCGGUGGCGAAGGCGGGUCUCUGGGCAGUAACUGACGCUGAGGAGCGAAAGCGUGGGGAGCGAACAGG
rnacentral:rRNA from 1 species